UGCAAGAAGGAGGCGGCGGCGGCGGCGGCGGCCGGAGCUGGAGGGGGAGGAGGGGAGGAACCUGAUCCUCGGUAGCGAAGGGCUGGAGGCAAACACCGAGCUCCCCCUGAGUCGCCUGGGAGCAGGGAGGGUUCUGCUACCCUGAGGGGCCCUCCCCGCGGGGCAGAGGGGUUUCUUCAGCAGUGCCCCGGAGCAGGGACUGCGCCAGCCAGCAGAAACAGCUAGUUGUUGUCUGCAGUGAAGAAUAAUUGGAAGCAUGGUGCCUGUUUCUUUUCCUGUGGGAGGAAGUCACAGCAUCUACUUCUGAAUCUGUGCUUGCCUUGAGGAACAACGGCAUGACACAAGAAUGUGGACGCUUUCAACCAGAGGAUUCUGUACGACAGUGUCGGCACACAAGGAGUGUUCCACUGACUGACCUCUUUUUGUUUUCAAAUGAAGAGGAGCCAAGAAUAGGACAGCUUGGGAAGCUCAUCUUCGUCUACGGCCAAACGUUGGUUUCUCAUUUCUAGAAGAUGAAAGAUGUGAUGACUCAGGAAAAACUGGAAUCUUAGUAACUGUGGUGGGCAUUGAGCCUUGCCAUCCACAAGAGAAAGCUUGCUGCUCGAGAUGUGAGUCUUCAGAUGUUCCUGCCGCCAUAUCUGACAGCUGCUGCCAAGAUUCCCUGGUGGGAUGGACUCUUAUACCUCGACAACCAGAAGCCCAAGUAAACUCUUCUAUAAAUUGAAUGACUCAUGCUUAAAAAAAAA
rnacentral:lncRNA from 1 species